GCGUGCCUACACAUGCAAGUCGAACGCGAACGUCCUUCGGGACAAGUAGAGUGGCGAACGGGUGAGUAACGCGUGGGUAAUCUGCCCUCGAGUGGGGGAUAACUUCGGGAAACUGAAGCUAAUACCGCAUAAUGGUUCUUUCCUACGGGAAAGCACACAAAGGUGGGGAUCUUCGGGCCUGCCGCUUGAGGAUGAGCCCGCGUACCAUUAGGUAGUUGGUGGGGUAAUGGCCUACCAAGCCGAAGAUGGUUAGCUGGUCUGAGAGGAUGAUCAGCCACACUGGGACUGAGACACGGCCCAGACUCCUACGGGAGGCAGCAGUGGGGAAUAUUGCGCAAUGGGCGAAAGCCUGACGCAGCAACGCCGCGUGCGUGAAGAAGGCCCUCGGGUCGUAAAGCGCUAUAAAGUGAGAAGAGCAGGUAGUGGUUAAUACCCUCUGCCCCGACGGUAUCACUAGACAAAGCACCGGCUAACUCCGUGCCAGCAGCCGCGGUAAUACGGAGGGUGCAAGCGUNGUUCGGAAUUAUUGGGCGUAAAGGGCGCG
rnacentral:rRNA from 1 species